rnacentral:rRNA from 1 species
UACAGAGGUCUCAAGCGUUGUUCGGAUUCAUUGGGCGUAAAGGGUGCGUAGGCGGCGCGGUAAGUCGGGUGUGAAAUCUCGGAGCUUAACUCCGAAACUGCAUUCGAUACUGCCGUGCUUGAGGACUGGAGAGGAGACUGGAAUUUACGGUGUAGCGGUGAAAUGCGUAGAUAUCGUAAGGAAGACCGUAGGUCGGAGCGGACGGACCGGUGGUCCUUGGAACUGGA